CGGGUGAGUAAUACGUGAGUAACCUGCCCUUGACUCUGGGAUAAGCCUGGGAAACUGGGUCUAAUACUGGAUACUACCUCUUGCCGCAUGGUGGGUGGUGGAAAGGGUUUUACUGGUUUUGGAUGGGCUCACGGCCUAUCAGCUUGUUGGUGGGGUAAUGGCUCACCAAGGCGACGACGGGUAGCCGGCCUGAGAGGGUGACCGGCCACACUGGGACUGAGACACGGCCCAGACUCCUACGGGAGGCAGCAGUGGGGAAUAUUGCACAAUGGGCGGAAGCCUGAUGCAGCGACGCCGCGUGAGGGAUGACGGCCUUCGGGUUGUAAACCUCUUUCAGUAGGGAAGAAGCGAGAGUGACGGUACCUGCAGAAGAAGCGCCGGCUAACUACGUGCCA
rnacentral:rRNA from 1 species